rnacentral:rRNA from 1 species
AGGAUGAACGCUGGCGGUAUGCUUUACACAUGCAAGUCGUACGAGAGUUUUUAACUCAAGUGGCGGACGGGUGAGUAACACGUAAGAAUUUGCCUUUAGGAGGGGGAUAACAACUGGAAACGGUUGCUAAUACCCCAUAUGCUUUCGAGUGAAAUGGAUUUUCCGCCUAAAGAAAAGCUUGCGGCUGAUUAGCUUGUUGGUGAGGUAAUGGCUCACCAAGGCGACGAUCAGUAUCUGGGUUUGAGAGGAUGAUCAGACACACUGGAACUGAGACACGGUCCAGACUCCUACGGGAGGCAGCAGUGGGGAAUUUCCGCAAUGGGCGAAAGCCUGACGGAGCAAUACCGCGUGAGGGAUGACGGCCUAUGGGUUGUAAACCUCUUUUUCAGGGAGGAAUAAAUGACGUGUACCUGAAGAAUAAGCAUCGGCUAACUCCGUGCCAGCAGCCGC